UGCCAGCCGCCGCGGUAACACGAACCGUACGAACGUUAUUCGGAAUCACUGGGCUUAAAGAGUGCGUAGGCGGCCUUACAGGUGGGGUGUGAAAUCCCCCGGCUCAACCGGGGAACUGCGCCCCAAACCGUAAGGCUUGAGGGAGAUAGAGGUGAGCGGAACUGAUGGUGGAGCGGUGAAAUGCGUUGAUAUCAUCAGGAACACCAGCGGCGAAGGCGGCUCACUGGGUCUUUUCUGACGCUGAGGCACGAAAGCUAGGGGAGCGAACGGGAUUAGAUA
rnacentral:rRNA from 1 species